rnacentral:rRNA from 1 species
CGAUGAUACGCGAGGAACCUUACCUGGGCUCGAACGUAAGAUGACUGUAGGUGAAAGCUUACAUCUCUUCGGAGCAUUUUACGAGGUGCUGCAUGGUUGUCGUCAGCUCGUGCCGUGAGGUGUCGGGUUAAGUCCCAUAACGAGCGCAACCCCUACCUUUAGUUGCCAUCAGGUAAUGCUGGGGACUCUAAAGGAACUGCCUACGCAAGUAGUGAGGAAGCGGGGAUGACGUCAAAUCAGCACGGCCCUUACGUCCAGGGCUACACACGUGCUACAAUGGCCGAUACAGAGGGCAGCUACCUGGUGACAGGAUGCAAAUCUCCAAAGUCGGUCUCAGUUCGGAUCGGAGUCUGCAACCCGACUCCGUGAAGUUGGAUUCGCUAGUAAUCGCGCAUCAGCCAUGGCGCGGUGAAUACGUUCCCGGGCCUU